GGGCCGAAAAGGCUACCCCUGAGAAAUCAGGGUGAGUGCGCAAAACCGUGGGGCUAAAGAUAGAUCUAAGCUAACAGGUUACCGACAAAACAGAAGUAAAUCUAUCUAUUUAAAGCUAGCCAGGUUGCCGAA
rnacentral:ncRNA from 1 species